rnacentral:rRNA from 1 species
CCUACGGGAGGCAGCAGUGAGGAAUAUUGGUCAAUGGCCGCAGGGCUGAACCAGCCAAGUCGCGUGAGGGAUGACGGUCCUAUGGAUUGUAAACCUCUUUUGUCAGGGAGCAAAGGGCGCCACGUGUGGCGCUUUGCGAGUACCUGAAGAAAAAGCAUCGGCUAACUCCGUGCCAGCAGCCGCGGUAAUACGGAGGAUGCGAGCGUUAUCCGGAUUUAUUGGGUUUAAAGGGUGCGCAGGCGGAAUGUCAAGUCAGCGGUAAAAUUUCGGGGCUCAACCCCGUCGUGCCGUUGAAACUGGCGUUCUUGAGUGAGCGAGAAGUAUGCGGAAUGCGUGGUGUAGCGGUGAAAUGCAUAGAUAUCACGCAGAACUCCGAUUGCGAAGGCAGCAUACCGGCGCUCAACUGACACUCAUGCACGAAAGCGUGGGUAUCGAACAGGAUUAGAUACCCCAGUAGUC